CUUCUCGGCCCUUGCCGCCCCCAAAGUUAAGGCCGCCCCGGGGCCGGGCUACGGUGCAGGCUCGCCGCCUCAGCCGGCCCCGUGCGCUGUCCGUCCGUUGGAAGCCCUGAGGAGCUCGGAAGUUUUUCAUUUGGGGCGGGGAAAGGUCUUGAACUUGCUCAGAGUUGUGGGGUGAAGCCACAGCUUUCUGGAGGCAUUUGGGGAACGUGAAGAACGUCAGAGACAAAUUGGUGCUGGCAGUUACUGUGUUGUGGUUUUACACCUGCGGUCAGCCCUCAGAUGUGGAAGCUAAGGCUUUGGAAAGGAGAGCCUGGCUCAGGGUCACAGAGCCAGCGAGGAGGAGACAUGAGACUCAAACCCAGGUCUCUUGAACCCCAGGCCUUUUCCUGUGUUCUCCUGCACCUUGGAUGUCAGGGGUCCCAAAAAACAGAUGGCACAUAUCAGCUGGGUAAUUUGACACAAGGUAUAGGGAAACAGCUAUGGAGUGUGAAAUAUUCUGAGGCUAGUCACAGUGGGAUUGUAACCACCUCUGCGCCCAGAGAUAAGGAAACUGACUAGUGAAUCAGCAAGAGGAAUGGAGGUAUGGACAACUGAGCUGACAUUUGCCUCUCUGGGAUCUUGUGUAUGAUAGUUCCUCUGUGGAUGUUUGUGGGGUGAAAGAAUGAAAGAGGAGCACAUAAGAGGCCAGAUUCUUUGAAGAAUUGCCCUGAAGAUCCAUAGCUGUGCCUCUUCUCUCCAGGACAGGGGGAUUGGUGUCAGUGUCUCUCCUGCCGCUUUGUGAUAAGCCAGGUUAUUCAUGUUAAAAGAGUAGGUAUAUAGAUCUGAAAAAACAAAAAAACCUUGGACAUUUUGCCUUUCCUGUAGAGGAUAGUGUUGGAGUUAAAAGCAUUUCUCUUUCUGCAGCCAUCGUUCCCUGUCCCCUGAUUUCUGGUUCCCCCCACAGUCUGGGCAGGAGCCCAGGUGCUGCCUCUCAUCCCUGCUCAACUCCUACACUCCACCCACAAGCUCGAUUCUGCUAAUUGCAUCGCUGUGCCACUCCUGGAACACAGUGUUGUUGGGGGACAAACCAAAGACCAAUGUGAUAGGGAGUAUUUUUCCAGCAUCCCUAAAGUGGCCUGCCAUGGAGCAGAACCUCAGCUCAGAAGCUUUGGGUUCUUUCCUCUAGGAACCUCUUCCUUCACCACCACCACCCUCCCACUUCAGAAUCCUCUUUUAUUGGCCUCUUCCUUCCUCAAGGGUCCCCCAAAGUUGUUGUUCAUUGUCUUAGCACCUCAGACGUGGAGAUGGAACCUGACAUUCAGUGACCACAUGCCGUGUGCCCGAUGCUGCCAGAUGCUCCUAGCCACAAUCUCCUUUCAUUUCUUAGUGAUCCACUUAGUAGAAAGUAGCAGGGAGGGACUUUGCAGAAAAGCAAGAUUCUGGUUAGGUAAUGUGUUCAGGAUCACACAGCUCUUUUUUUUUUAAGGUUUUUUUAAUUGUGGUAAAAGUCAUAUAAAACACUGUUUUAACCAUAUUUAACUGUACAAUUCAAUGACAUAACUAUAUUCACAUUGUUGUGCAGCUCUUACCAUCAGCCCUCUCCCGAAGUUUUCACCUUCCUAAACUGAAACUCUGUCCCCAUUAAACACUAACUCUCCAUCCCCUACUGUUGCCCCUGGGCAUGGCAUCUACCGGUGUACUUUCUGACUCUGAAUUUGACUAUUCUAUGUAUCUCGUACAAGUGAAAUAAGCAGUAGUCUGCAUCUACUGUAUAUUGGAAUACAUUUUAAAGGUUAACUUAGUAUGUUCUACUUUUUUUUUUUUUUUUACUCCGUGU